rnacentral:misc_RNA from 1 species
GUGAGUCAUCGAAUCUUUGAACGCACCUUGCGCUCCUUGGCAUUCCGAGGAGCAUGCCUGUUUGAGUGUCAUGUUAACUCUCAGCCCCUUGGGGUUGGAUUCUGGACGCUGCGGGAGCCUCUUCCGCUCGUCUCAAAUGCAUUAGCGGGGUUCGGGCACCGACCCAUUGCUGGCGUUUAGUAAUGCUUGCGCCGCGCGGGGUCCACCGCCUCUUCCGCUUACCAGCGGACGCCACGGCGUCGAACUUGACUUUUUGGCCUCAAAUCAGGUAGGAUUACCCGCUGAACUUAAGCAUAUCAAUAAGCGGAGGA